CAGUGUCGAGACGCAGAUUCCAAUCUACCAGAGAAUCCAAUAUAUACUCAGCUUCACCAUGUGUUGUGCCUGGGCAGAACGUUUCAGAUAAGCAUUCAGUGGACAGAUGCUCUGUGUGCAUUACUUGUUAUUGACCAGACCUACCCGCUGAAAAUAUAUUAAGAAUUGAAAAUGUAUUACCCUCAAGGUGGUGAUGGUCAUGACUCUACUUCCUGAACCAUUGAAGGCCAUUUGGAGUUCCAGGGUUUUUAAUCCAACAAAAAUGCAGCAACAGCAAUAUAGUUCCAAGAAAGGAGGUGACUUGGACAUGAAGUUUAUCAUAUUGAACGCAUAUUGAAAAUGUGAUUUGUCUAAUCACACUUUUUUUGUUAUUUGCCCUGUCCUAAAACAGGCACAUGCCUUUUUGUUACAUAUUUGGCUGCCCAUCAUUUUGUAAUACAUCUUCUCCCAAAGCCCCACAGUGAA